GUUUUAAAGGCUUAAAAUAGAAUAUCUAGGUUUAGAUUUGUGUUUUCAUGAUUUUGGCUUUCUUUCGUGGUCGAAGAACUUAUCCACUUAGAGCUUAAUUUAAACAAUAUUUUUGCAUGCUUUUUAAAAUUGAGAUCCAAAAUAGCAGUGGGUACUGUCAUCAGUUGUUUCAGAGAUAUUUUCCUACAUGGCCUGAAAGAUUCCGAUCAUCCCCCGGGGGGGCAGCGCCGCAACCCAAUAUAUAUAAAGGAAGAAAAUUAAAAAAAAAA
rnacentral:misc_RNA from 1 species